UGGGUCCGCCAUUUCUACAGGAUGCUGCCC
rnacentral:piRNA from 1 species